GACGAACGCUGGCGGCGUGCCUAAUACAUGCAAGUCGAGCGGAUUGAUGGGAGCUUGCUCCCUGAUAUCAGCGGCGGACGGGCGAGUAACACGUGGGCAACCUGCCUAUAAGACUGGGAUAACUUCGGGAAACCGGAGCUAAUACCGGAUAAUCCCUUUCCUCUCAUGAGGAAAGGCUGAAAGAUGGUUUACGCUAUCACUUAUAGAUGGGCCCGCGGCGCAUUAGCUAGUUGGUGAGGUAACGGCUCACCAAGGCAACGAUGCGUAGCCGACCUGAGAGGGUGAUCGGCCACACUGGGACUGAGACACGGCCCAGACUCCUACGGGAGGCAGCAGUAGGGAAUCUUCCGCAAUGGACGAAAGUCUGACGGAGCAACGCCGCGUGAGUGACGAAGGUUUUCGGAUCGUAAAACUCUGUUGUUAGGGAAGAACAAGUACGAGAGUAACUGCUCGUACCUUGACGGUACCUAACCAGAAAGCCACGGCUAACUACGUGCCAGCCGCCGCCGUAA
rnacentral:rRNA from 1 species